ensembl:lncRNA
AGUAACUAAAGGCUGGGGGCAUAUUAACUAAAGGCUGCCUCUCCAUGCCUCUUGGUCCCCGUCAGGUUCUCUGGUAGGCUGUUCCAGAGGCUGGGGGCAUAGUAACUAAAGGCUGGGGGCAUAUUAACUAAAGGCUGCCUCUCCAUGCCUCUUGGUCCCCCUCAGGUUCUCUGGUAGGCUGUUCCAGAGGCUGGGGGCAUAGUAACUAAAGGCUGGGGGCAUAUAACUAAAGGCUGCCUCUCCAUGCCUCUUGGUCCCCCUCAGGUUCUCUGGUAGGCUGUUCCAGAGGCUGGGGGCAUAGUAACUAAAGGCUGGGGGCAUAUUACUAAAGGCUGCCUCUCCAUGCCUCUUGGUCCCCGUCAGGUUCUCUGGCAGGCUGUUCCAGAGGCUGGGGGCAUAAUAACUAAAGGCUG